GUGCAGCAGUCGAGAAUUUUUCUCAAUGGGCGAAAGCCUGAAGGAGCGACGCCGCGUGGGGGAUGAAUGGCUUCGGCCCGUAAACCCCUGUCAUUUGCGAACAAAUUGACUCACCCAACACGUGUGUCAUUGAUUGUAGCGGAAGAGGAAGGGACGGCUAACUCUGUGCCAGCAGCCGCGGUAAUACAGAGGCCCCAAGCGUUGUUCGGAUUCACUGGGCGUAAAGGGUGCGUAGGCGGUUGGGUAAGUCUGACGUGAAAUCUCCGGGCCUAACCCGGAAACUGCGUUGGAUACUAUCCGGCUAGAGGAAUGGAGGGGAGACUGGAAUACUUGGUGUAGCAGUGAAAUGCGUAGAUAUCAAGUGGAACACCAGUGGCGAAGGCGAGUCUCUGGACGUUUCCUGACGCUGAGGCACGAAAGCCAGGGGAGCAAACGGGAUUAGAUA
rnacentral:rRNA from 1 species